rnacentral:rRNA from 1 species
UGCAGUCGAGCGGAUGAAGGGAGCUUGCUCCUGAAUUCAGCGGCGGACGGGUGAGUAAUGCCUAGGAAUCUGCCUGGUAGUGGGGGACAACGUUUCGAAAGGAACGCUAAUACCGCAUACGUCCUACGGGAGAAAGCAGGGGACCUUCGGGCCUUGCGCUAUCAGAUGAGCCUAGGUCGGAUUAGCUAGUUGGUGAGGUAAUGUCUCACCAAGGCGACGAUCCGUAACUGGUCUGAGAGGAUGAUCAGUCACACUGGAACUGAGACACGGUCCAGACUCCUACGGGAGGCAGCAGUGGGGAAUAUUGGACAAUGGGCGAAAGCCUGAUCCAGCCAUGCCGCGUGUGUGAAGAAGGUCUUCGGAUUGUAAAGCACUUUAAGUUGGGAGGAAGGGUUGUAGAUUAAUACUC